rnacentral:rRNA from 1 species
AUUGAACGCUGGCGGCAGGCCUAACACAUGCAAGUCGAGCGGAUGAAGGGAGCUGGCUCCUGGAUUCAGCGGCGGACGGGUGAGUAAUGCCUAGGAAUCUGCCUGGGAGUGGGGGAUAACGUCCGGAAACGGGCGCUAAUACCGCAUACGUCCUGAGGGAGAAAGUGGGGGAUCUUCGGACCUCACGCUAUCAGAUGAGCCUAGGUCGGAUUAGCUAGUUGGUGGGGUAAAGGCCUACCAAGGCGACGAUCCGUAACUGGUCUGAGAGGAUGAUCAGUCACACUGGAACUGAGACACGGUCCAGACUCCUACGGGAGGCAGCAGUGGGGAAUAUUGGACAAUGGGCGAAAGCCUGAUCCAGCCAUGCCGCGUGUGUGAAGAAGGUCUUCGGAUUGUAAAGCACUUUAAGUUGGGAGGAAGGGCAGUAAGUUAAUACCUUGCUGUUUUGACGUUACCAACAGAAUAAGCACCGGCUAACUUCGUG